rnacentral:ncRNA from 1 species
CAACCUCAACUCAUAUGGGACUACCCCCUGAAUUUAAGCAUAUUAAUUAGGGGAGGAAAAGAAACUAACAAGGAUUUUCUUAGUAGCGGCGAGCGAAAAGAAAUCAGUUCAGCACUAAGUCACUUUGUCUAUAUGGCAAAUGUGAGAUGCAGUGUACGGAACAUCAACAUUCUAGUAUGAGAAGUUAACGAUUUAAGUCCUUCUUAAAUGAGGCCAUUUACCCAUAGAGGGUGCCAGGCCCGUAUAACGUUAAUGAUUACUAGAUGGUGUUUCCAAAGAGUCGUGUUGCUUGAUAGUGCAGCACUAAGUGGGUGGUAAACUCCAUCUAAAACUAAAUAUAACCAUGAGACCGAUAGUAAACAAGUACCGUGAGGGAAAGUUGAAAAGAACUCUGAAUAGAGAGUUAAAUAGUACGUGAAACUGCUUAGAGGUUAAGCCCGAUGAACCUGAAUAUCCGUUAUGGAAAAUUCAUCAUUAGAAUUGUAAUAUUUUAAACAAUAUUAUAAUAAUAGUGUGCAUUUUUUCCAUAUAAGGACAUUGUAAUCUAUUAGCAUAAAUAUUUAUCAUAAAAUUAUGUCUGAUUGCUUAUUUGAAUUAUAUGCUUGGCAUUUUACAUAAAAUAAAAGAUAUAAUUUGAUAAGUGCUGAUAGAUUUAUAUGAUUACAGUGCGUUAAUUUUUCGGAAUUAUAUAAUGGCAUAAUUAUCAUUGAUAUUUGUGUUUAUUAUAUGCAUUUGUAUGAUUAACAAUGCGAAAGAUUCAGGAUACCUUCGGGA